UUUUAUGGAGAGUUUGAUCCUGGCUCAGGAUGAACGCUGGCGGCGUGCCUAAUACAUGCAAGUCGAGCGAACGGACGAGAAGCUUGCUUCUCUGAUGUUAGCGGCGGACGGGUGAGUAACACGUGGAUAACCUACCUAUAAGACUGGGAUAACUU
rnacentral:rRNA from 1 species